UACAGGGGGGCAAGCGUUGUUCGGAAUUACUGGGCGUAAAGGGUCUGUAGGUGGCCAACUAAGUCAGACGUGAAAUCCCUCAGCUUAACUGGGGAACUGCGUCUGAUACUGGAUGGCUUGAGUGUGGGAGAGGAAUGCGGAAUUCCAGGUGUAGCGGUGAAAUGCGUAGAUAUCGGAAGGAACACCAGUGGCGAAAGCGGCUUCCUGGUCCAGCACCGACGUCAGGCACGAAAGCGUGGGGAGCAAACAGG
rnacentral:rRNA from 1 species